rnacentral:rRNA from 1 species
UAUGUAGGUGGCAAGCGUUGUCCGGAUUUACUGGGCGUAAAGCGCGCGUAGGCGGCUUUGCAAGUCGGGUGUGAAAUCCCCAGGCUUAACCUGGGAACUGCAUUCGAGACUGCAUUGCUAGAGUAUGGGAGAGGGAAGUGGAAUUUCCGGUGUAGCGGUGAAAUGCGUAGAUAUCGGAAGGAACAUCAGUGGCGAAAGCGACUUCCUGGACCAAUACUGACGCUCAUGUGCGAAAGCGUGGGGAGCAAACAGG